rnacentral:lncRNA from 1 species
UAAACCCCACCUCCCUUAUAACUGUCCGAACAGACCCCUUCCCCAAACACCAAAAAAACCCUCAUUCUCUUCUCUCCCUCUCUCAGCACCUUAACUUUAGCCGCCCUUUAACCCCCGUCGUCUCUGCCUGGUCCGCCAACCGGAAAUCGCCUCACGGCGGUGGACCACCUCCAAACUCCACCAAAGUAACACCCUAUAACCAUCUUUCCCUCCCCUUUCCAAAUCCCCAAUCAUUUCCCUCAAAUCAUUCUCAAAUCGCUCGAAUCUUGGAUCUGAAACCCUAAUUUUUCCCUUUUUGAUUUCCGGCAAUUUCUGGUUUGUUUGAAACCAAGACUUCCAUUAGUCGAUUGUUCUUGUUGAGAACAGUCGAUUAAUGGUCAUCCAAGUUCAUUUUACCCCGAUGAAGCAUGUCCAAGUUCUUGACUGGUCCAAAUUUGAGGCGAGUUUUGGUAAUUCCUUUGCCAUUCUUUUUUUUCUUUUCUCUCAUCUUUUGAUUAUCUCCUUCAUCUUCUUUCUUUCUUUUAGCCGCAUAGGUUUUCUCAUGUUCCCAGCUGUUUAGCUUGUUUAUUUGCAUCUGUUUAGUAGGUUUAUUAAAGCAUGCUAGAAUUUCAGUAUUUGAAGUUUAAUUUCAAAUUGCAUAAAUUUAGUUUAAUUAGAGUUAACUUUUAGGUUUGAUAAAUAGAAUGAUUUUCCUAUUUCUUUCAUAUUUUUGUCUUAUGCUUAUUUAUUUUAUGCUCAGUGUUUAGUUUAAGUUAAUUAGAAUAAUGUUACUCAAGUUGAUUAACGAGCUGUUUUUGGUUAGCUGUUAAACAAAUUAGUUGAUUAAAUUGUUUAACUUACCAACUGAGUAGGUUAAUUUCUAGGGUUUCUUUGCAGUUUCAUUAUAAUUUUGUUUUGUCUAUUUUUUAGAUGUGUUAGUUGUUUAAAUCCAAUUUUGUUUUAGGUUAAUUAUGUGAGCCUGUUUAAUUUACUAAUUAGAUUUAGAUUUUUUAGCUUAAACCCUGAAUGCUCUUAAGAUUAAGACUGAUUUUGGAAUUAAAAGAACAUUUGAAACCAUGUUUAGGAGGUUUCAUAAGGGUCUUUAAAAUCAGAAUUUGGGUCAUGACUUGUUAGGUUUGAAAUAUCUAGUAAAUAAAGGGUAAAAUUGGUUUUACAUAAAGCUAAAAAUCAGAAGGAUCUAGCACUUUGUCCAGUUGCCCCAUUCUUAGCAAACAAAUGUUGAAAUUGGGUGGGAAAAAGGACAUACAGCUGUCAAAAGAUGUUGUACUAUUCUGACACUUCAGAAUUUAGGUUAGAAUAUUCUAUUUUGAUGUCAUCUAUGUCCACUCUAUAUAAAGAAAAGCAUUCACCCAUUCUCACAGGGAUUUUAUGAGCAUAAUUGCACCUAAAAAAUUUCACAAUACAAAGAAAAAUCCUUAAAUUUUUCUGGAAAAAGCAUCAGCUUUCCGAGUUAGAUUUUUAGGUUGAUUUCUCAAAUACUUUGAUUCUUGAGAAGUUUGGGUGUUGUUUCUUGGUUUCUGGGUUGAUUCUUGACUCCUGUUGUUUGGGUUUUUUGUUUCUGCUCCAUCUUUAAGUUUCAGCCAGCAUUUCAGUUGUUUUUGUUGCUGGUUUUUGUUGUUCCUUUAAGGUACUGAUUUCAGCCUUCUUCAUGUACUGCUUGUUUAAGUAAUAUAAGACCAAAAGCUGCAAAUUAUACAUGAAAAAUGAGUAUCAUUUCAUGUUAGUUGUAGCUUACAUUGAUAUGGAUCUGAUUAGUCUUUAUUAUGUGAGUUUAAGCUUGAAUUAAUCUGGUAUGAGUAGCCUGGUUAAUACAUUGAUGCUUUGUAGUUUUCCUCUUGAAAGUAACCUUGUUUGAAGAUGCUUCUUUGGCUAAAUGUUCUUCAUAUUAACCUUGAUUAUGAAUAUUAUUUAUUGAAGUCAUUCCUUCCCUUCUUAUUUUGUUGGUGAAUAAUAUGGUGUUUAUUUGAGGUCAUUUGGGGUUUGUUUUGCUAACCAUGAGCAACAACCUAUGGAUUUGGCCACUAGUUAGCCAAAUCAGCAGGUUCAAAAGAUAAGAGCUGAAAUUAUGUUGUUGAUAUCAUGCUGAAACUGGUGGUUUCAUGUGUUGGACCAAGCUUUGAUGGAUAAAUCAUGUCCACAAGAGGCAGGUGUUCAUUAGGCUAUCAAUUACCUAGAAGUUCUAAUAGAAUAGUUUGAUAUGUUCUCUUUAAAGAUUAAAUUCUGGUAUAGUAGAUCAGUUUUUAUUUUAGCUUCAAAGUUCAAAAGGUACCCCACAUCAAUUAUGUUCUGUAAUGAGUGAUUUCACAAUAGUAGAAACUUCAUGAAUAGCCCAGACCUGUAUAUAAUUUCAAUUCAGCAUUCUAUCUUAUUCAAGUUCAUAUUUUCGGUCACAUAUGAGUGGA